rnacentral:rRNA from 1 species
GACGAACGCUGGCGGCGUGCUUAACACAUGCAAGUCGAACGGAAAGGCCCUGCUUUUGUGGGGUGCUCGAGUGGCGAACGGGUGAGUAACACGUGAGUAACCUGCCCUUGACUUUGGGAUAACUUCAGGAAACUGGGGCUAAUACCGGAUAGGAGCUCCUGCUGCAUGGUGGGGGUUGGAAAGUUUCGGCGGUUGGGGAUGGACUCGCGGCUUAUCAGCUUGUUGGUGGGGUAGCGGCUUACCAAGGCUUUGACGGGUAGCCGGCCGGAGAGGGUGACCGGCCACAUUGGGACUGAGAUACGGCCCAGACUCCUACGGGAGGCAGCAGUGGGGAAUAUUGCACAAUGGGCGGAAGCCUGAUGCAGCAACGCCGCGUGCGGGAUGACGGCCUUCGGGUUGUAAACCGCUGUCGGCUGGGACGAAGCGUGAGUGACGGUAACGGGAAAAGAAGCACCGGCUAACUACGUG